GAGGCAAAACAGGAAAUCAAAAUCAACUGCUUCAAUCUAACAGUUUGGAUAAAGGUCUAAUUGCAGUCGAUUUUAAAUGGCUUCGUUGGGAUUGCAGAUUUCAAUUGAACUACUGUCUAGGGCAAGGUGAAGGUUCUGUCAAGGAGACGAACCUCGUGAAUGAAACAGUCAGGUUUGCCAUGGAGUAUACUGAUGCAAGUCCUAUCGAUGAGUAUGGGUGAAAACUCCAACAACGCAGCUGGGCUUCUACCAAAUCCUGUCGCUGAUCCUCAAACUGGAAUGCGGGUAGGAUUAAUAAACUCCAUACUACUCAUUCAUGGGCGUUCCUCGAAGUCA